AAAAAAUAUGAGAUGUAUCUAACAGCAGGUAAUUUUUAUUUCAGGACUUACAGGGUAAGUUACAUUAAUGAGUGUAAUUGGCUCUUUUACCCAGGGUGAAUAAAAUGGCUCAGAGAGGAGGGACUGUUCACAGAUCUGACAUGAUGUAAUGUCUGACAGAGACUGUGGUGGAAACUAUUCAGUCUGACUCUUCUCAGAGUGAACACUUGUACAAUGGAUCUUCAUUUAGUUAUGCUGUUCUGUGCCUCAGCAGCUGCUGUCUUUGGAAAUGUCAUCAAACCAAACAAAACAGACAUUUUAGAGAUGGAAGGUUCAAAUAUUACAUUGUCCUGUAUUUAUUCCUCUUCAACUACUGAUACUCUCCACUGGUACCGUCAGUAUGGAAGAUCACAACCUGAAUUUCUUGUACUCACCUACAGCAAUGCAAAAGACGCUAAAGAGUCUGAUGUUGAUCCAAGAUUCUCUGUUAAAGCUGAAAAAAAGGAACAAAUCCAUGUCUAUCUGGAGAUCUCCUCUGCUGCUGUAUCAGACUCUGCUCUGUACUACUGUGCUCUGGCGCCCACAGUGACAGGAAACACAUCAGCUCUCUACAAAAACCUGUUACUAUGAGAGACAAGAGAGAAACACACAGAGAAAAGAC